rnacentral:lncRNA from 1 species
UUUAUCUUUUCUGAUUUGUUUAUGAAACUGUAGACAAGAGUUGGUGUCUGUUUUCAUGUGCUUUCUUGUGCAUAUCAGCAUAUGUUUUCUGGCCCUGGAACAAACAAGCAGAUGAUGAUUUAAUUAUUUGACUGAAUCUCGAUCGUAUAAUAAGGUCCAAGUAGUGUAUGCUUAAGAGAAAUUUUGGAGUGCUUACUGCCAAGUAUUUGUUUCAAAAAUCAUCCGUCAACAUCUAAACUCAAUAGACUUAGUUUUGCAUUUUACAAAAUGUCAAAAAUAUAGAAACCAGUUGAUGAUUUUGCAGACCUGACGAGGUGGAGAAGAAGGACCACC